rnacentral:rRNA from 1 species
GGAUUAGAUACCCUGGUAGUCCACGCCGUAAACGAUGGAUACUAGCUGUCGGGACUUCGGUCUCGGCGGCCAAGCGAAAGUGAUAAGUAUCCCACCUGGGGAGUACGUUCGCAAGAAUGAAACUCAAAGGAAUUGACGGGGGCCCGCACAAGCGGUGGAGCAUGUGGUUUAAUUCGAUGAUACGCGAGGAACCUUACCAGGGCUUAAAUGCAGUCCGACAGCUUUAGAGAUAGAGUUUUCUUCGGACGGAUUGCAAGGUGCUGCAUGGUUGUCGUCAGCUCGUGCCG